AUGCUCCGCCUCCGAGGGCGCAUUGUUUCCCAUCUCCUCUCUUUCUCCUCCACCUCUGGCCCAGCCAUCUCCCCUCUCCACCGGCUCCUCUCCGCAUCGGCAGCCGCCGGCCCCGUUUCCCCGAACCCCAGUGGAUUCGCCGUCGAGGACUACCUCGUCGACACCUGCGGGCUCACCCGGCCCCAAGCCCUCAAGGCCUCCACCAGGCUCUCCCACCUCAAGUCCCCCGCCAAACCCAACGCCGUCCUCGCCUUCCUCGCCGGCCUCGGCCUCUCCGGCGCCGACGUCGCCCCGGUUGUCGCCAAAGACCCGCAGCUCCUAUGCGCCAAAGUGGACAAAACCCUGGCUCCGGUGGUCGAUGGGCUCACCGGCCUCGGCCUGUCGCGUUCCGACAUCGCCCGCCUCUUCUCGCUCGCCCACGCCUACUUCCGCUGUAGAUCCAUAGUCUCCAAGCUGCACUACUACCUGCCCCUCUUGGGCUCCUUCCACAACUUCCUCCGGCUGCUCAAGCGCUCAUCCCACCUUCUGUCGUCGGACCUCGAUAAGUCGGUCAAGCCCAAUGUUGCCUUCCUGAGGGAGUGCGGCCUAGGUGAUUGUGAUAUUGCCAAGCUGUGUAUCCGGGAGCCGAGGAUACUGGCAAUUAACCCGGAGCGCAUCCGGGCAAUGGCGGCAUGUGCUGAAAGACUAGGUGUGCGCCGCGGCUCUGGUAUGUUCAGGCAAGGGCUGCAGGCUGUCGCGUUUCUCAGUGAGGAGAAGGUUGCCGCCAAAUUGGACUACUUGAAGAAUACUUUCAGGUGGUCUGAUGCCCAAGUGAGCAUUGCUGUGCGCAAAUAUCCAAAUCUGCUGGGGAAGUCAAAGGAAUCUCUGAAGCGCAGGUCCGAGUUCCUGGUCUCUAAGGUGGGGGUGGAACCCGUGUACAUUGCUCAUCGACCGACAUUGCUCUCUUAUAGCAUGGAGGGCCGACUCAGACCCCGGUACUAUGUUAUAAAGUUUCUCAAGGAAAAUGGACUGCUAGAUGGUGACCUGAGCUUCUUUACUGCGGUCAAGAUGACUGAGAAGGUAUUUAUGGAGAAACUCAUAUCCCCUCACAAGGAAGCUGCACCACACCUCGCUGAAGACUAUGCAACAGGCUAUGAAAAUCCGUAA
rnacentral:rRNA from 1 species